GGGGACACGACGACGUGAGAGUCAUCACAACAAUUCUGGCUCUGGCUCCUCCUCUCCUGAAGGACUCAGGGAGUGUGUUUCCGGAAUUUGAUCCCGGACACCCAGGGAUGGUGGAGAACUGGCUACGGAGACACCCCAAAUUGCUACUCACUCUUUGUGCUGUCCACAAGGACUUCUGUGGCAAGCCUAGGUUUCUGCACAUCCAAAAACAAGGCAGCUGACAACUGUGCCUGAAAUGAAUAUUCCGUGCAGUAUUCUUCUUGCUGGUGAGCCCUGCUGGACCYGCCUGUUGAAAACGGUGGGGCAGAAGGACUCUCCACUGCAUUUCCCAGUGCUCUGACCUCUCCAGACACCUCGUUUCCUGUUAUGGGCUUCAUCUGAAGCUGCAGAGGAUGGACAGGGGACAACUAAGAUAGAAGCACGUGGGAGUGUUUCACCUUCCCCAGAGAACUGCAUGCACCUUUAGCUCUGUGCUGAAGUGACUUGCUAAUCUCAGAACCGAAGUGGAAGAGUUCACAGUUCUAGUUAUUUCAUCGUAUUUCUAGGACGACAAAUUCAAAGAAAUACUUAAAAAUACAACUUCUCAGCACAUCAGAUGACGCAUUUGACCUAGAAGUAAUUGUGCAUUUUUUUUUUGUUCUGUUUUUGCCUGAAGAGAAAUCUUAAGGAGAAACAACCAGACUAUAUGACAGGUCCAAACUGUGGCUCCUCAAGGUGUAUAGUUGUGUGGGUUGARCGGGACAUGACUAAUCUGCACGCUGCACAUUCAGUUUUGUUCCAGGAUCCUGAURCUCUGCACUAGUAGGGCAGCCCAGUCCCAUUGAGUGGGGUGUCAUUAAAGGAUCAAUGUGCAUGUUACACCAUAACUGCUUGGGAGAGGCAGUUUUGCAGCUCAGAUAAAGUGAUUUUGAGGUGGACCUGGAAAGAGAUCAGACCAGAAUUUACCCAUACGUUUGCMCCUUCUUUGGGGAUAUUCUUGUUUGAUCUAGAACGGAAAAGCCUCCUAUCUGCACAGCAGUGGGUCACAGCUGGAAAAGCACCUUCCUAUCAUGUGUUUUCUUUCCAGAUUCCCAGCUGUGUAGGUCGCUGACUCGAGAGGAAGGAAGGAAGGAGCUCUCUUGGUAUUGUUAAAGCUAGCUGAAUGUACAGCACCUACCAUGCAGCGGAUGCUGCCAGAGACAAACAGUACAUCCUAAUAAAGAUAGUGCUUCAGGUAGGCCAAAUGAGGUCUCAGAUCGGUGCUCUUUGCAAGAACUGCUGUGCAAUCGUGUUCUCAAAUGUGCUGCCAGAGCUGAAUAAACACCUGGGAUCCAUACAUAGCUUCUGAUAAUAACACUAGCUUCUACCUCAGGCAUUUAAACUAAAGCUUUAUAAAGGAGGUCAGURGCACUGCCCUGUUUCACAGCUGGAGAAAUCGAAGAAAGGAGGUGAAAUGAC